CCUACGGGAGACUGCAGUGAGGAAUAUUGGUCAAUGGCCGGAAGUCUGAACCAGCCAAGUAGCGUGAAGGAUGAAUGCCCUAAGGAUUGUAAACUUCUUUUAUCAAGGAAUAAAACGAGGCACGUGUGCCUUUUUGCGUGUACUUUAUGAAUAAGGAUCGGCUAACUCCGUGCCAGCAGCCGCGGUAAUACGGAGGAUCCGAGCGUUAUCCGGAUUUAUUGGGUUUAAAGGGAGCGUAGAUGGGUUGUUAAGUCAGUUGUGAAAGUUUGCGGCUCAACCGUAAAAUUGCAAUUGAUACUGGCAGUCUUGAGUACAGGUGAGGUAGGCGGAAUGCGUGGUGUAGCGGUGAAAUGCUUAGAUAUCACGAAGAACUCCGAUUGCGAAGGCAGCUUACCAACCUCUGACUGACAUUGAUGCUCGAAAGUGUGGGUAUCAAACAGGAUUAGAUACCCUAGUAGUC
rnacentral:rRNA from 1 species